rnacentral:rRNA from 1 species
GACGAACGCUGGCGGCGUGCUUAACACAUGCAAGUCGAACGGAAAGGCCCUGCUUUUGUGGGGUGCUCGAUUGGCGAACGGGUGUGUAACACGUGAGUAACCUGCCCUUGUCUUUGGGAUAACUUCAGGAAACUGGGGCUAAUACCGGAUAUGAGCUCCUGCUGCAUGGUGGGGGUUGGUAAGUUUCGGCGGUUGGGGAUGGUAUCGCUGCUUAUCAGCUUGUUGGUGGGGUAGUUGCUUACCAAGGCUUUGACGGGUAGCCUGCCUGAGAGGGUUACCGGCCACAUUGGGCCUGAGAUACGGCGCAGAAUGCUACGGGAGGCAGCAGUGGGGAAUAUUGCACAAUGGGCGGAAGCCUGAUGCAGGAACGCCGCGUGCGGGAUAACGGCCUUCGGGUUGUAAACCGCUUUCGCAUGUGACGAAGAGUGAGUGACGGUAAUGGGUAAAGAAGCACCGGCUAACUACGUG